CAAUUCCAAAGCAUCUGAAAAGCAAAACCUUUCAGCAGCCUAUUAUCCCAACAAUCUGCUUCAAUAAUAUACUGAAAGGUGUUCUUUCAAAAACCAUUACACCUCUUCAGAAUCUUGGCACUCCAUCUAAAAAGACCCAAAAAUUCCUCUUCCAACUAUUUUCUUCCUCUUUUCCAGAACAGGGAAUCGAUAUUAGAUGUGGCUUGUACGAUGUGAUGUUGUUUUUUUUCCUUGUAAAGAACUCAAUCUAUUUGCCUUUUUUGUCUUAUUGUGAGAGUUUUCUUUCAAAGUUUCAUAUUUGAAUCAUAUUAUUGGGCUUUUUUUUUAAAAAUCUAACUAAAGCUUGACUAAUGUACUUAUCUUUUGCUUUGGUAUUAUUAACUAUGUAACAAAAGAAGGUUUCUCUUUUGAGGAUGUUGACGAUGUUUGAAAGGGAGCUUCAAUUGGUCCUUCAAUUGACUUGGCCAUUCAUAUCCACCCAAAGUAUCUCUGUACAAUCUCAUGAUUUUGUUUGGAAUAACAUUAAUAUGUGCUGUUGUAUUUUAUUGUUGUUUCCUAUUUGUAUGUCUGUUAAUGUUUAUUGGGCAACUUCCAUAUAAAUUUUAUCACAUACAUCUGUAUGUGAAAUGUGUACGUAUAUAUAUUCUUUUGAUAUAGCUCCAUUAUAAAUUUGCAUGUAAGGAUUUUUAGGUUUUGUUUAUUUGGUCACUUUUGUUCCUUAUAAUCCUUACGCAUACGACGCCCUUUGAGAAGCUAUUGCUACACAUUUCAUGUCUUAGAAACCCUAACUCAUUUUGUUCCUCUAUUCUUUCAUGUUGUUGCCCUCUUUUUUCAUUAUUCUAUUUUUUCUUUAUUUUCUCUUUCUUCUUCUUUUUUGGCUUAAUGAUGUAAAAAGGCUUUAAGCUUUUUUAAAAAAAAAAGCAAUUAAGCUCAUUCUCUUUUUUUUUUUGCACUCAGUUAAGCACUUGAACUUUUAAAAUGCAUCAAAAAGACUCUAAAUCUUCUUCAAAAAAAGCAAUUAAACCCCUAAUUUUUUCACUCAAUUGGCUACUUUGAACUUUCAAAAUGUUAAUACUCUCAAAAUUUUUCAAAAAAGGUAAUGGCUUACUUACUUUCUUUUUAUACAUUUUGAAAUUUUAAAAAUUCAAAUAAAUGUAAAAAAGAAAAUAAGAGCUUAAUUUUUUUUUUUUUAAUUUGAGUGCUUUUUGAUAUCCUUAAGCCUUUUCUUUUAUUAUUCUCCCUUCCUUUUCUUUGUUUUGUUCCUCAAAAGUUACUGUUUUUUUAAAAUAAUUUCCCUUUAAGCUGAACUGGUUACUUAGUACGUGUAUCUGUAUGCAAUCCUUGGUGCUGUGGAUCCAGAAAAUAUAGGAAAUAUUCAUGGCAUCACGGCUGCAAAUCGAGGGUGAUGCCUCAGUGCUGCUUCGAGUCGCUCACUCCAACCUCAAAAGCUUCGCCACUGACAUUCGCUUCUCUCUUCAGAUGAGCGUGGAAGCAGUGAAAGAUAAGGUAUGGAAGAAAUGUGGGACUUCGGUAAAUUCAAUGCGGUUAGAGCUAUAUGAUGAUUGUAAAAAUAAACUUCGUGAUUUAAGUGAUGAUUCAAGACCUCUCGGUUUCUAUUCUCCACUAGAUGGGUUCCGAAUACACAUUAUAGAUCUUGAUCCUUCAUCCGUAACUUCGGAAGGGUGGCUUGAAGAUACGUCAUUAGUCGAGAAGUACUCGAUUUCUGAAGAUGAAUACAAUAAACGUUCCGGUACAUUUAGGAAAUUUAAGAAACAAAUGGCAUCUCAAAAUCCAUCAGCAUUCAGGAACAAAAUGUCAGAUGACUACAUGGAAGACCUCUGCACAAAUAUCAAGGUAGGAGAUAGAUGUGAAGUUGAUUCAGGGGAGAAAAGAGGUGUUGUCAAAUAUGUGGGUCGAGCAGAAGCAUUAGGGCCAGGCUUUUGGAUUGGAGUUCAAUAUGAUGAACCGUUGGGAAAACAUGAUGGAAUGUUGGUGGCUAUCCUGAACGAGAUCCCUUUGAAGAGGAUGAGAUAUGAUGUGAUCGCGAAAGGAUCUGGAGAGAGGAGAUGCAGCUGGUACCUGGGCAAGGCCAUUAUCCCUGAAGAAGUGGAGAAGUAAUGUGCAACCAUACUGCACAAAAUUCCAUUGUUUAACACUACACAUCACAUAUACUGAGGAGCAGGAGGCAAAGAAAAGAAGCUGGCCUUUGGACCUGAAUCCUGCAUAAAAAAAGGGAUAUGAUGAUCAACAUGGGAAGCUGAUGGAUGGUCUUUACAAGGCCACUGGUUAGGCAAAGCAAAAGCAAAGCUUAGCUUGUAGGUGGUGGUGGUGGAAUUGUGGGAGGGUAACAUCUGCAAAGAUGACAAAUACAGGAGGAAGUAAAAUUCUCAAACAAGACCAUUUCAGAUGACAAUCAAAGAUGAUAUCUUCUAUUGUUAGGUAGGUUAAAGCUAUCACAGAAUACCACUACUUACUGUUAUAUAUAGUUACUACAAUAAUAUGUAUUUAUUUAUCAAGGUAGGAAGUCUGCUCUCUUCUCUUCUCUUCUCUUCUCUUCUCAUGCAUUAUCAAUUUUGACCAGACGUCUAAUUUCAAUGUUAUUCGAAAAUAAUAAUUUAUAAAAUUAAUAUAACUUGGAAGCCACUAUUUCAAUUUUAA